GUGCCAGCCGCCGCGGUAAUACGUAGGGGGCGAGCGUUGUCCGGAUUCAUUGGGCGUAAAGAGCUCGUAGGCGGUUCGGUAAGUCAGGUGUGAAAACUCCAGGCUCAACUUGGAGACGCCACCUGAUACUGUCGUGACUAGAGUCCGGUAGGGGAGCAUGGAAUUCCUGGUGUAGCGGUGAAAUGCGCAGAUAUCAGGAGGAACACCAGCGGCGAAGGCGGUGCUCUGGGCCGGAACUGACGCUGAGGAGCGAAAGCGUGGGGAGCGAACAGGAUUAGAUACCCCGGUAGUCC
rnacentral:rRNA from 1 species